AGUGAACGCUGGCGGUAGGCCUAACACAUGCAAGUCGAACGGCAGCACAGUAAGAGCUUGCUCUUACGGGUGGCGAGUGGCGGACGGGUGAGGAAUACAUCGGAAUCUACUUUUUCGUGGGGGAUAACGUAGGGAAACUUACGCUAAUACCGCAUACGACCUACGGGUGAAAGCAGGGGAUCUUCGGACCUUGCGCGAUUGAAUGAGCCGAUGUCGGAUUAGCUAGUUGGCGGGGUAAAGGCCCACCAAGGCGACGAUCCGUAGCUGGUCUGAGAGGAUGAUCAGCCACACUGGAACUGAGACACGGUCCAGACUCCUACGGGAGGCAGCAGUGGGGAAUAUUGGACAAUGGGCACAAGCCUGAUCCAGCCAUACCGCGUGGGUGAAGAAGGCCUUCGGGCUGUAAAGCCCUUUUGUUGGGAAAGAAAAGCAGCAGGUUAAUACCCCGCUGUUCUGACGGUACCCAAAGAAUAAGCACCGGCUAACUUCGUG
rnacentral:rRNA from 1 species